rnacentral:siRNA from 1 species
UUGAGACUUAUUUACAAUGGCUGC